rnacentral:rRNA from 1 species
UACGGGAGGCAGCAGUAGGGAAUCUUCCGCAAUGGGCGAAAGCCUGACGGAGCAACGCCGCGUGAGUGAAGAAGGAUUUCGGUUCGUAAAGCUCUGUUGUUAGGGAAGAAUGAUUGUGUAGUAACUAUACACAGUAGAGACGGUACCUAACCAGAAAGCCACGGCUAACUACGUGCCAGCAGCCGCGGUAAU